rnacentral:rRNA from 1 species
CCUACGGGUGGCAGCAGUGAGGAAUAUUGGUCAAUGGGCGCGAGCCUGAACCAGCCAAGUAGCGUGAAGGAUGACUGCCCUACGGGUUGUAAACUUCUUUUAUAAUGGAAUAAAGUGCGGCACGUGUGCCUUUUUGUAUGUACUUUAUGAAUAAGGAUCGGCUAACUCCGUGCCAGCAGCCGCGGUAAUACGGAGGAUCCGAGCGUUCUCCGGAUUUAUUGGGUUUAAGGGGAGCGUAGGUGGGUUGUUAAGUCAGUUGUGAAAGUUUGCGGCUCAAACGUAAAAUUGCAGUUGAUACUGGCAGCCUUGAGUACAGUUGAGGUAGGCGGAAUUCGGGGUGUAGCGGUGAAAUGCUUAGAUAUCACGAAGAACUCCGAUUGCGAAGGCAGCUUACUAAGCUGCCACUGACAUUGAUGCUCGAAAGUGUGGGUAUCAAACAGGAUUAGAUACCACAGUAGUC